UGUCCAGACUCCUACGGGAGGCAGCAGUGGGGGAUAUUGCACAAUGGGGGGAACCCUGAUGCAGCGACGCCGCGUGGGUGAAGAAGCGCCUCGGCGCGUAAAGCCCUGUCAGCAGGGAAGAAAAUGACGGUACCUGAAGAAGAAGCCCCGACUAACUACGUGCCAGCAGCCGCGGUAAUACGUAGGGGGCAAGCGUUAUCCGGAUUUACUGGGUGUAAAGGGAGCGUAGACGGAAUUGCAAGUCUGAUGUGAAAAUCCGGGGCCCAACCCCGGAACUGCAUUGGAAACUGUAUUUCUAGAGUGUCGGAGAGGCAAGUGGAAUUCCUGGUGUAGCGGUGAAAUGCGUAGAUAUCAGGAGGAACACCAGUGGCGAAGGCGGCUUGCUGGACGAUGACUGACGUUGAGGCUCGAAAGCGUGGGGAGCAAACAGGAUUAGAUACCCUUGUA
rnacentral:rRNA from 1 species